AGUAUUCACUGUUUCCCACAACUUCUUGUCACUGGCGCCGGGCCACUUCACAUAUGGUCUGUGCCCUGGUAGUCUCCUCUCGACUGCAGGUCGGUGAGUUCCACUCCUGUUGUUGGUUCCACCUCAGUUGUUACUUCGGUGCUUGAGUUUACGUCCUCCAUGACAGUGGUACUGAUGCACUGCAAACUAUGGUUUGCGUCCAGUUGCUGUGCUUCAUUCGACUGAUUUGAUCGCUUUCGCAGAAAGUAAUCAAUGCGAGGCCUCUGUCUCUCUUUACCCAAACACCCCUUCUUCCCCUGGUGGAUCCUCAACCCAUGGUGUGAUGUAACUUUCCUCCAACCACAGACACAUACCUGCAUCUGUUUGUGGCCCGCUGUUGCAGCAGAACUUGUGACAGUUGCUGUGGUGAAGAAGUAGAUUGUUAUUUUAGUGAGGGGGUAAGACUAGAAAAGCAACAGUUCCUUUUUGACCUACAUUAUAUUAUUAGUCCUUCGUGAAUUCCUCGUGUCCUCUCUCCACAUCCUUUUAGAGCAUUGGAGUAGACAAGAGGAACCUCGGAUCUUCCUAAAUGCGUUUUGAUAAGGAUGGCCCCUGUACUUUGUAUGUGUCAAAUUACAUUCUACCUUUAUAGAGCGACUGUCCCCAAAAAGCAGCUAAUCCCUUUGAAACCGGCCGAUGUGGCGUCGAUAUAAAUCUGAAACAUUUAUUCUAGUGUCACAAUUGACCACAAAGUGUAAAUAGGAUAACGUUGGUCAUAAAGUCGUCUAAAACUAAGUUUGGAACCUCAGUAAAUCAAGGUUGGGUUUGGAUUACAAUCAUGUCAACAAAUCAGGCUCCGUUUUGACAAACUCCACGUGAAAAUCGUUCUUUCGACCCCUUUGCUUCCAUUCAUUGAAGGGAACUUCAUCGCCCCCAAUGCUUUCAAAGAAGGAUCAUGGCCCUAUAUGGAUUGACCAUGCCCCCUGAGCCAAAAUUCGGCUGUUUGCAUGCACUGUCGAAGGACCCUGGUAUGUGAUCGUAAUAGGCGCUUGGAGUUUGUCGGUCCCCAAGUUUGUACCAGCAACGCUAGCAUUGUGUGUUUGCAACAACCGGUGGUGCCUCAGCCAACACCACCUGAUGAGGAAGUACAUUGUUUAUGAGGAUUGCCUGCUGCAGUUGUUCGAGAGAUGUCCAGUUUGAAGCUAUACAUGCAACAUAGAGAAGACCAGCAAGGGGACCCUUAGCAUCAAGCAGACAUGCCUCGCUGUGAGAAUUUCUUUAAAUGGAACAGGGAGGACACUUGAAUCAGUAUCUUUGAUGAGGGGCCAGGAGCUGAUCUAUGCUGCCGUGCCCAUCAAAGGCGCACAGGCUAAAACCUCACCCCCAGCCUCACCUCUUGCCUGCACACCAACGGUCGUCGAUGGGGAGACCAGAAUAAAAUGCAUCUAUGGAGCCGGCACUUGGAGACUUGCAAGAUGAUGUGAUGGAGUCCUGAACGACAGACAGGCUUUAUACUGAUGUCUCUAAAUGGAGAGACCUGCCACUCGGCAUUAACAUUUUACUAGACACAACUUUUACUUGUAAAGUGUUUCUUUAUUAUUGAAUGGUAUCAGUCAAUAUUGGGAGGGAGAAACCCUGUGUAUUAUGCACCAGGAUCCGGGAACUGCUGUUGUAUACAAGACACCACACCGGAAGGUAUGACCACGCUGACAUUUUUGCCAAGGUAACCCCAUUACCACCAGAAACCUCUGGCAUCUCACCAUACAGCUACCUCUAGUUAUUGAACUCAACCUGCGGGAGGUUUUUGUUGUAAUUGAGUGGGGGGAAACAGCUGUGAGAGACUUCAAUCAAAGUUGAUUUCUGAGAGGCGUUGUUUACUCAUCGUAGCUCAUGUAAAGAAUAGAUAAUGUAAACACUUGUGGGUGCACAAAUAUCAUGACAUUCACAUAAAGUUAGACCUUCUAACCGAGAGUUCAAACGAAUGUGUCUUGAUUUGUAAAAAUGAUGGCCUUUAGAUGAAAUGACAUGUAACUCUUACAGGUUUGUCCACAGUGAAUGAGUUCCACACUGGCAUGAGGGAUCUCUUGCUAUUGCAUUGACAAAGACUGGAUGAUACAGUAGGCAGUAGUCAUUGCUGAGUUACAGCAUUUUUGGUCUCCCCAACAAUGUGUGCUUCUCCUCAACAGCGGUCACUGAAAGACAACAACCUAAAACUCAAGGCCAAAUCUACACUGGAGUUGCUUCCCAAGAAGACAGUGGAUGUUCCUGAUUGUCCAAGUUAGUUUUAAAUCUACUUAAAAAUCUAUGGCAUGACCUGAAAAUGGUUGUCUAGCAAUGAUCAACAACCAAUUUGACCGAGCUUGAAUAAAUUUUUAAAAAAAAGAAUGAUCCAGGUGUGGAAAGCUCUUAGAGAUGUACACAGAAAAACACAGCUGUAAUUGCUGCCAAAGGUGUGAAAACUUAUGUAAAUGAGAGAUUUCUGUAUUUCCUUUUCAAUAAAAUUGCAAAAAAUAUAUAAAACAUGUUUUCACCUUAUCAUUAUGAGUGUUGAUGGGUCUUUCUGUAAAUUUGUUAAUUUUCAAUUUUUUAUAUUAUAUGGA